AUAUUAUUUCACGUACAUGUGGCAUCUAACAACAAACAAAUACAGACAAGCAAAGAAAAACAAGCUCACAAAGAGAACAGAUAGGUGGUUACCAGAGGCAGGAGUAAGUUCUUCGGGGAGAAGGAGUAUGCUGUCAGAUGGAAAUGAGCACUGGAAAUAGUGAACAGCAUUUAUAAGGUGAAAUUCUGCACAUCCUUCAAAGACUGAUGCAACAUUGCUUCCAGUGUGAAGGUGUCCACACACAGAGCUGGAACUUACAUCUCCUUCUCCUGUGUUCCCAGUGAGCAACUGAAAUGUUUCCUUCCAUUGUAGAGCCUGUGUGCAGGGAGACUAUAAGCAGUGUGGGGAAGAAGAAAAGGCAGAGGAAUUCCUGAAGUGAACUAACGAGGCCUGUCACCUAAUCCCCUUCACAUCACGUGAAAGGUCUAGGGCCAGUUAUCUGAUCUCUCUGGACCUUAGGCCUUCAACUAUGAAAUUGAAAUUAUUGACAAAAUCUUCACAAAAUUGCUAUGAAAACAGAUAGAUGUGUGAAGUAAUAUUGGGCAUUCAAGAAAAAUGA